UUGUCAGCAGCAAAUAUACUGAAUUUGGAAUGAUAUGAAGAAGAUUAGGAUGGCCCAUGUGUAAAGAUGACAAAAAAAUAAUAAAAUAUACCAUAUUUUA
rnacentral:snRNA from 1 species